rnacentral:rRNA from 1 species
UACAGAGGGGGCAAGCGUUGUUCGGAAUUACUGGGCGUAAAGGGCGCGUAGGCGGCCUGCUAAGUCGAACGUGAAAUCCCUGGGCUCAACCCAGGAACUGCGUCCGAUACUGGUUGGCUUGAAUCCGGGAGAGGGAUGCGGAAUUCCAGGUGUAGCGGUGAAAUGCGUAGAUAUCUGGAGGAACACCGGUGGCGAAGGCGGCAUCCUGGACCGGUAUUGACGCUGAGACGCGAAAGCGUGGGGAGCAAACAGG